AACUUCUGAAAAUUGAC
rnacentral:rRNA from 1 species